rnacentral:rRNA from 1 species
GUGCCAGCCGCCGCGGUAAUACCGGCAGCGCAAGUGAUGGCCGAUCUUAUUGGGCCUAAAGCGUCCGUAGCUGGCCGGGCAAGUCCAUCGGGAAAUCCACCCGCUCAACGGGUGGAUGGCCGGUGGAAACUGCCCGGCUCGGGAUCGGAAGGCUCGAAGGGUACGUUCGGGGUAGGAGUGAAAUCCCAUAAUCCCGCACGGACCACCGAUGGCGAAAGCACUUCGAGAAAACGGAUCCGACAGUGAGGGACGAAAGCCAGGGUCUCCAACCGGAUUAGAAACCCUGGUAGUCC